ACGCUGGCGGUAGGCUUAACACAUGCAAGUCGUGCGAGAAAGUAUCUUCGGAUAUGAGUAGAGCGGCGGACGGGUGAGUAACGCGUAGGAAUCUACCUAGUAGAAGGGGAUAGCCCGGGGAAACUCGGAUUAAUACCGUAUACCUCCUUUGGGAGAAAGAGGGCCUCUCUUGAUGCUCUCGCUAUUAGAUGAGCCUGCGUAAGAUUAGCUUGUUGGUAAGGUAAUGGCUUACCAAGGCUACGAUCUUUAGCUGGUCUGAGAGGACGAUCAGCCACAUUGGGACUGAGACACGGCCCAGACUCCUACGGGAGGCAGCAGUGGGGAAUAUUGGACAAUGGGCGCAAGCCUGAUCCAGCCAUACCGCGUGUGUGAAGAAGGCCUUCGGGUUGUAAAGCACUUUAAGCAGGGAGAAAAAGCUAUAAGUUAAUACCUUAUAGCCGUGAUGUUACCUGCAGAAUAAGCACCGGC
rnacentral:rRNA from 1 species